rnacentral:rRNA from 1 species
UACAGAGGGGGCAAGCGUUAUUCGGAAUUAUUGGGCGUAAAGGGCGCGUAGGCGGCUUGGCAAGUGGAUGGUGAAAUCCCUCGGCUUAACCGAGGAACUGCCGUCCAAACUGCUUUGCUUGAGACCGGGAGAGGUGAGUGGAAUUCCCAGUGUAGCGGUGAAAUGCGUAGAUAUCAGGAGGAACACCGGUGGUGUAGACGGCUUUCUGGACCGUAACUGACGCUGAGACACGAAAGCGUGGGUAGCAAACAGG